GUCCCCAUCACCUUCACACUUAGCAGCAGCUUCCCUCGCUCUCUGUGACCCGACUACCGGAGUGCAGCUGUUGACGUGGCACGAGGAGUGUUUGUUGUACACCGUCUACUCUCCUCCCUCCUUCCAGCAAGUGUAGUCGCUACUGGCUACCACGUGCACACAGCGGCCCUCUCGGCCCUCAGUUGUGCGCAGCGCGUGCGAACCCUGGGCCCGGGGCUGGCGGCGCCACCAGCUGUGGGGCGGGCGGUGAUGUUGUCUGGCAGUUGCUUGGCUGCUGACUUGUCUACACACGCGGUCGUGGAUGUCGUCAGCAACAGUCGCUCUCGCCACUCGCCUCAUCAGCCCCCCCACCUGCCGCGGCCCCACCCCCACGUCCAGCUGUGCGCCCCAUCCCGCCCACGUGUAAGGAGGGGGGGAAGCAAUAAAUUGUGGCUUCACGUCCAGCCAGCCAACACUAGCCGAUCUCCGUCUCCAGGCGCUGAGCUGCGCCCGCCUGCACUCGACGCACCUUUCUCGGCCUGGUGUAUGUUUUGCUGUAGACUGCACGUGCGAGGAUGUUUGCAAGUCCGCACUGGGUGGGCUGCAGUAACUAAGUCGCCUCGCCACCCGACUGCCACGUAUGGUGUCGUCAGUCGCUGGAUUUUGUUUCACCUGUAGAGCUGCCGACUGUGAAAUUCCACGAAGACGGUUGUGGUGGUGCUACCUGCUGCACCUGUACCUGCAGCACCCUCUGUGAAUGGGGUCCACAGGUGUUCACAAUGAACGAGGCCGCCUGUCAGGUCCCAUGGUUGUGGGGGAGGAUGGAGCGAGCUGGUUGCGGGCGGCUGUGGCGCUGUGUGUGAUGUACUGGCUGCUGCUGUCCUACCCACUGACACUGGCUCUCACCUGCCUGGGCACGCUGCUCAUCACCGUCCUCAUCUACCUCAAGAGACUACUGCGGGCCCGCGAAUGUCCUGCGCGCCUCACCUGCCGGGACUCGGCGCUGGCCCGUCACGUGGGGGCCCACUGUCCCACCUUUCGCCACAUCCUGCGCCUGCCAGCCUGGGCCCGCAACUGUCACGUGCAGAGUUGUCUGGGACUGCUUGCCUGCCGCCAGGGGGCGCACUUUGCGCGCGAGUACCUACAGCUGCACGACGGAGGGCUGCUGGCCCUGGACUGGGCGGUGGGCAGUCAGUACGUCUCGCCUGCUCACCCGCUGCUGCUGCUGCUGCCGGACCUGACAGGAAGUGCCGUGCAGCUGUCGGCGCUGUGCUGCCAGGCCUUGACCUUGGGGAUGAGGGCAGUCGUGAUCAACAGACGCGGACAGGCGGGUAGCAUUGUCAGCACCCCAAAGCUACCUGGUUAUGGAGACACCUCUGACCUCCGUGAGGUCAUUGGGUACCUGCAACGCACCCACCAGAGAGCCGCCCUUUGCGCUGUCGGGGUGGGGACCGGGGGAGACGCGCUUCUGUCUUACCUGGGGCAGUUCGGCUCCUCCGCCAGGCUGUCGGCCGCCGUGUGCAUCUCCCCAUCAUACAACGCGGCUGACACGCUCCACGGCCUCCCCACACCCUACUUGCAGCUCUACCUGUCCCACCUGAAACAGGCGGUGCUCAGCAACGCCCAGGUGUUCGGGCCCCUGGUGCAGCGGGCGCGAGGCGCGUGGUCCGUGAAGGAGUUCGACCAGAAAGUGGUCAGCACGUGCGCCGGUUACAAUGACCUGGAGGACUUUUGGGAGGACAACGAACCGCUGCGGGAGGCCGACGAGGUCAGCGCCCCCGUGCUGUGCGUGUCCAGCCUCGACGACCCGGUGUGUCGCCCCCAGCACAUCCCCUACGACCUCUUCCGCGCGCUGCCCAACUUCUUCCUGCUGACUCUGCCCCACGGGGGCCACGCGGGCUUCCGACAGGGGCUGGGCGGCCUGUCCUGGGCCGAAGCCGCCGCCAUGGACUUUGUGCAGGCCAUGCUCAGCUUUCAGCCAUGCACGUGCUACGUGGCCAACGGCGUUCACGUAGCCACGCAGACCAACGACUUGCUGGACUGGACGCCGGACCCCCUGACCCUCGACCUAGUGACCUUAGAGCCUGAAGACACGAGUCGACUUCCUCGGACGCUGCCUGCGGAGUGGCACGGGUGACGUGCGUGCUGGUGACGUGAGGCUGUGUGACGUGACUGCUUUAGCAGCGUGCUGUGACCUGCCUGUGACCUCACACUAACUUGGAGGUAACGGAGGGGUGAGUACCUGGAUUAUUUGGGACUCCCCCCACCCUGAGUACGGUGCGCCAUACCCUGAGAGACCUUCACCUGUGACCCCGACGCCCACCACCUGGACAAGAGGAGGGACAGGAUGGACACGCAGGACCUGCCACAUAGACGGCAGUGGUCACGUGACGGGACGCCAGGACCUUGACUGUGAUGGCGACAAGCAAGUCAUUGACCUCUGUGUCACUGUCAUGUCACGAAGUUGUAUGUCAUAUGUUAAUUGGAGGUGUAGAGGAUGUUGACAGACGACUUCCUACUUCUGGGAGGAGCCUGCUGCCUCGCUCUGGUGGUCAAGGUCGUCAGAAAGGUCUUGAGGUCAAGGUCGUCAACAGCGAGAAGGACGAGACGAAUGAGAAAAGGUGUGACACUGUAGGGAGUCUGAGUGUGAGUGUCAGCUAGGAUGUACCAGCCAGUGGCUAUGUCAGCUAGGAUGUACUAGACAGUGUGUGGAUGUACUAGCUCUCUGCUCGCCAGGAUGUGUAGAGCCACUCGUGUGUCUGCUGCAGGAUACACAUUGUGUACAGACUAGUAUCUCGUGCAUCCCAAACAAUAAAUAACAACAUAAAUAAACUAUUAACAUCUUAUCACAAGUACAAC
rnacentral:misc_RNA from 1 species